GGAAGGGGAAGAGGGAAAACAAAAAAGUGGGUUGUGGUUGAAUGAUGAUGGUGGUGGUUUAAGUAAUAGUAAUCUGGGUUGUGGUAAUGAAGAAUAGAGAAGAGAAGUGUUUAUGGGUUGUGAUACUUGAGUAAAAAUGAAGAAAGUGAUGAAGAGGAAGAGGAAGAAGGAAGGUGUUUUUAGGUUGUGGUGCUUGUGGGAAGAUGAAGAUGUGUUUAUGGGUUGAAUCCUUGUUGGGUUAUUUUUUUUCCUUUCUCUCGUGAUGGUUUGAUAAUGGUGAAGGUGAGGGUUUGUUGAUGAUGAAAGUGAGUGUUUAAAGAAGGUGAAUGUUUGAAUCGUUUGGUGCUGAUUGAUAGUUCUGAAAGCUGCUUUUUUAACAAUUUCUCAUCUCUUA
rnacentral:lncRNA from 1 species